rnacentral:rRNA from 1 species
GACAGAGGGGGCAAGCGUUGCUCGGAAUCACUGGGCGUAAAGGGCGCGUAGGCGGGAUGGCAAGUCGGUCGUGAAAUCCUUCGGCUCAACCGAAGAACGUCGGCCGAUACUGCCGUUCUUGAGGGAUGCAGAGGAGAUUGGAAUUCCUGGUGUAGCGGUGAAAUGCGCAGAUAUCAGGAAGAACACCCGUGGCGAAGGCGGUUCUCUGGGACGGUACUGACGCUGAGACGCGAAAGCGUGGGGAGCGAACAGG